UACGUAGGGUGCAAGCGUUAAUCGGAAUUACUGGGCGUAAAGCGUGCGCAGGCGGCUUUGCAAGACAGAUGUGAAAUCCCCGGGCUCAACCUGGGAACUGCAUUUGUGACUGCAUGGCUGGAGUGCGGCAGAGGGGGAUGGAAUUCCGCGUGUAGCAGUGAAAUGCGUAGAUAUGCGGAGGAACACCGAUAGCGAAGGCAAUCCCCUGGGCCUGCACUGACGCUCAUGCACGAAAGCGUGGGGAGCAAACAGG
rnacentral:rRNA from 1 species